rnacentral:lncRNA from 1 species
GCCGGCGACAGAGUGAAAAUGACAAGCAGGCCCGGAGUGCACAGGCAGGCAGGUGUGAGCGUGGAGAUGCCACACGUGUGAAUGAAAACAGCACGUGGGAAGACACGUGUGAGCGACACAGGCACCUUAACAUGGAAGAGGCAGCAGAGAGCAGCACAGAACCCUCGCGCCUAGCAGCGGAGACCCUGUCCUGACCCUAGCAUCACCACUGACUCACGGGCCACCUGCAAGGCCCUCCCCUUCUGUUUCACAAUCUGUAAAGGAGUCUGUCUUAGAUUGACGUUUCCCAGCCUGGUUUGUCUCUCUGGAUCCAUGGUCAAAUAUCCAUUCUAUGCCUGGAUGUGAUCAGGGGUUUGGGAAGCCCAUGGAUUUGGCACUGGAAGCGGGCCACACCACCCUCC